rnacentral:rRNA from 1 species
UGGGGAAUUUUGGACAAUGGGGGGAAACCCUGAUCCAGCCAUCCCGCGUGUGCGAUGAAGGCCUUCGGGUUGUAAAGCACUUUUGGCAGGAAAGAAACGUCGCGGGUUAAUACCCCGCGAAACUGACGGUACCUGCAGAAUAAGCACCGGCUAACUACGUGCCAGCAGCCGCGGUAAUACGUAGGGUGCAAGCGUUAAUCGGAAUUACUGGGCGUAAAGCGUGCGCAGGCGGUUCGGAAAGAAAGAUGUGAAAUCCCAGAGCUUAACUUUGGAACUGCAUUUUUAACUACCGGGCUAGAGUGUGUCAGAGGGAGGUGGAAUUCCGCGUGUAGCAGUGAAAUGCGUAGAUAUGCGGAGGAACACCGAUGGCGAAGGCAGCCUCCUGGGAUAACACUGAGCUCAUGCACGAAAAGCGUGGGGGCAAACAGGAUUNGAUACCCUGGUAGUCACGCCCUAAAACGAUGUCAACUAGCUGUUGGGGCCUUCGGGCCUUGGUAGGCGCAGCUAACGCGUGAAGUUGACCGCCUGGGGAGUACGGUCGGC